rnacentral:lncRNA from 1 species
CAUAAGGAUGUUACAGCUGAUUUCAGAGAGCAGUAAAGCACUAACCUAUCCCUUUUGCUAAGUCUCUCUAGCCCAAGCUGCCUGUGUGGUUUUUAAGGGCACAGAAAGGGAUCAGUACUCUGUCCAUCUUUCUCUUUUUCUAAAUUCUCCCCUUAUCUGCCUACUAUAUAAUUCUAUAGUAUAUUACACUAUAUUACACUGAAUCUAAACUGAAUCUGCACAAGAACCCAACUCAACUCAACUGCCCAGAAUCUCGUGACUGUCUGCUGACCGUCAGUCUGCACACGCGCUGGCCCUGUUAGGCCAAGGAAACAAAACCCCAUCACUCUGGGUAAACAAUCUCCACAUUGCAUUCUGCUUUAGCACAACACAGGAGCAGUGAAUGAGAUAAGAAUUGUUUUGCAUUCUUUUCUCUGCUUCUCUCACUGCUUCUCUCAGGUUCAGAGAAUGUGAAUCCCACAGUGUGACAUGAAGGAAACACCGAUUUGCACAGUGUUGUGGAUCUUCCUAAGAAGCCGCAUGAUUAAGAUCAGAGUCAAGAACACAACUGUGCAGAUCUCAACCACUGGGACCAUUGCUGUGCACUGAGAUAACCAAAAAAGGUAGAGACUGAAAGAGGACAGUGUGAUUUGAAAUUAAUCAAGAUGUAACAACUCCCUUCUGUAGGCUGUGGUUGGGAAUUCUCAGCUGAGCUGAGUUUGCCAAUGGCUGAUUCACAACUGCUGGCCUGUUCCUUCUCUGACCUAACGCUAUGCUCUUCUCACAGCUGCUGGGCUGCUGAUAAAUCCUCUGAAGUCUAAAACCUUGGGUUGCCUGAGGUUAAGGAAGCCCUGACAGUCUGCACCAGCUGAAGAUCAGUCCCUGGGUGUCUGAACCCUACAGGGAGUGUUUUUAUUCCAGUGAGCAAGAUGUUUGAGGGAACUGCAGGGACUGUGAUCUGAGAAUACUGAGGGGAAGCAACAGCCAAGACCCAAAUAAUAGUUCCUUUGGUAGCAGCUAACACAUUUCCUGACUGCAGUGUUGUCCAUGUAACUUGAAAAGAAUUCUGAAUGAGUCUGUGGCAGAAUAAACUAGUUAAUGAGAUCA